rnacentral:rRNA from 1 species
AUUGAACGCUGGCGGCAGGCCUAACACAUGCAAGUCGAGCGGUAACAGGAAGAAGCUUGCUUCUUUGCUGACGAGCGGCGGACGGGUGAGUAAUGUAUGGGGAUCUGCCUGACCGAGGGGGAUAACUACUGGAAACGGUAGCUAAUACCGCAUAAUCUCUAAGGACCAACGCAGGGGACCUUCGGGCCAUGCGCUGUCGGAUGAACACAUAUGGGAUUAGCUAGUAGGUGGGGUAACGGCUCACCUAGGCGACGAUCUCAAGCUGGUCUGAGAGGAGGGUCAGCCACACUGGGACUGAGACACGGCCCAGACUCCUACGGGAGGCAGCAGUGGGGAAUAUUGCACAAUGGGCGCAAGCCUGAUGCAGCCAUGCCGCGUGUAUGAAGAAGGCCUUAGGGUUGUAAAGUACUUUCAGUCGGGAGGAAGGCGUUGAUAUUAAUACUAUCAGCGAUUGACGUUACCGACAGAAGAAGCACCGGCUAACUCCGUGCCAGCCGCCGCUGUAACAC